AGCGCGAAUGGGUUCUCGCGCGCAUCACCGAAACGGCCUGAUUUGACUUUUAGUCACGGGGUCGAGGGUUCGAGCCCCUCUCGCGCUU
rnacentral:tRNA from 1 species